UACGUAGGGUGCAAGCGUUGUCCGGAAUUAUUGGGCGUAAAGAGCUCGUAGGCGGUUUGUCGCGUCUGCUGUGAAAACUCGGGGCUUAACCCCGGGCCUGCAGUGGGUACGGGCAGACUAGAGUGCGGUAGGGGAGACUGGAAUUCCUGGUGUAGCGGUGAAAUGCGCAGAUAUCAGGAGGAACACCGGUGGCGAAGGCAGCACUCUGGGACGUGACUGACGCUGAGACGCGAAAGCGUGGGGAGCAAACAGG
rnacentral:rRNA from 1 species